rnacentral:lncRNA from 1 species
UAAUACCAUAAACUUAUUUGAGGAACUAGCUUGCAUUACUCAAUUUUAUUAAUGAGUACAUUAUAGGGAAAUCCAGUGACGUCAAAGGAGACAAUCAACAAUCGAAUCGAGAGAGACAUAGACAUAGUAUAUGAGAUUUUUAUUAUAUAAUUAUGAUCGAAAUACAAUAUGAUUAACCAUCUUCUUUAUUCUCUCUUUGCUUAAUUAUUGCUAUUACACAAGACUCAACAAGGAUAACUAAAUACCCUCAUGCAAUUCCAGCGGCUCAGUUUACCCUGCAAAUUCAAGCUUGAUGUUAGGUUUAUAAAUAUAUCAUGCAUUCGAAGUUCAUUAUGACCACUACACAUAAAAAUGGCAUGGCUUUCAUUGCAGGGCUUUUUUAGUAUUAUAUAGCAAUUUUGAACCGAUUUAGAUGUCUCCGCUGUAAAAUAUUUUUUUCUUUCCAAAAUCUGCCCCGGAAUUAGCACAAACUAUGAUUAACAUUUAACACAUUUUAGUACAACAAUUUCUGCUAGUCAGCCAUAAAAUUAGCGUUUUCAAACAUUCUUCUAUAUCAAAUUAUCAACCAUAAUAUCACCACAACAUAUUUUGUUUUCAGUAACCGUUCAAAAGCGUAGUCAUAAAUAUGGAAAAUGUUUCCUAAACUUACGCAAAUUUUUUUUAUGGUUUCAUGUUUUACCGUUGCGUAUUCCUUUGGAGACAAUUUUUCUUACAUAAUGGCAACACUGUGAAAAACGGUAACCUAUUGUAUGGAAUAAACAAUAAUUAUCACGUAAUAAUUGAUCUUUGAUCUCUAUUAUAAAACAAGGGACAUUUAUUUAGUGUUGCGAAAAAUUGUGUUGCCUAAAACGAACUCUUUAUAGCAACAUUGACGAAUUGAUUUCUGAUGCAUUUUAGGCGGCGCUUUUCGCCUUUUGCAUAAAUUAGUGCUACCAAAACAUAAAAUAUGGUCUAGUGUCUCUAUCUUAAUUUUAUAUAUCCGAGAGAGAUCUUCUCAGAAAUAUCUUGAUUAAUCUAAUUUUUGCAGUCACAAUGUACUUAGUGAGACGACGGUAAUGAGACACCAAAUGAAAAAUGAAAGAUCUCAAUCCAAACAAAGAAAUUAAGGGUACUCAUGUUUAUUGAAAAGGAGUAUAUCAUACGUGUUGCAAUUAAUGGAGGGGGUUAUCUUAUAGGAAAAGUUGACCCCACACUUGCCAGGGAGAGAGGCAAGGGCUGGAAGAUUGAGUCCUGGCAAGCUCAGAGAAGUGGAUUUGAGGCACCUACAAGCCCCUUGACGAUCAGCGAUGGUCUUGGCCUGGUUCUUAAGAGUCCUGAUCCCGUUGCAGCAUGGUGCAGGGACAGAUGGACCAGGGCUCCUCAGGUAGCCAAUGCAUGGUGCAACAGUAAAUUGUACCUGGCCACAUGGCAGAGCCGCUUCGGCGAAAGGAGAGCCCAAAACCAUGCACAUCACGACCAAGGAGGCAAACUUGAGAACCAGUGUGGUAGCCAUGAUUUAGAAGAGGAAAUUGCAGUUGAAUGGUGAGUGUAUAAAUGUGAGUUUGGAGGUGAGGU